AGUGACAUAAUUUCAUCACUUUCUGGUGGUCAUACAACACCUGUCGACUGGAAAAAUUCCUGACCAGGAAGAAAAGCUACACUAUGGAGUUGUCUACUGAAAGAAGUUCACCUUACUCCUGGAGAGAUGAUGCAUGUCACAGAAGCUGCUGCAGUCCACUGUCUAUAAAUAUGGGAUGAACAAGAAUACAAACUAUGCAGUAUUGGCUCCAAUGUGACAAACUCAGUGCACUCUAAACUGGGAGGAAUUGCUGGUAACGGAGGAGUUUUCAUCUCAGAACAGAAGAUUUAAAAGGCUGUGGGAAGAUGUGGAGUCUUGAAAAGCAGUAUAUGAAGAAGAGAUUUCUUCAAGUUGAAUGCACCAAAUGUUUUCUUGGAAGCAAACCAGUGCAUGGAAGUUUAUUUUUAGUGUUGCCUGAAGCUUUGCAGCUUGUUAGGGCUCACUUUGCUGCUCUAUAUAAUAAAAAU